rnacentral:rRNA from 1 species
AAUCUGGUUGAUCCUGCCAGUAGUCAUAUGCUCCGUUCAAGGGCUAAGCCAUGCAUGUCUCAGUGUACACGGAUUGAGAGUGGGUCUGUGAAUGGCUCCUUACAUCAGCAGUCAUCUCUGUGAUAGAGUGUGGACGAUGCCACCUUUGCCAGGCAUCCAAUGGACAUCCUCCAAAACCUGGUGGCUAAUACACGGAAGCAACGGUCCCCUGUGGUGUCAUACGCGGCCUUUGGAAUGCCCCUCCCUGCUGACAAGGGCCUCGGCAGUGGAUUGCAGCCAGCCGUCUGGAAGACCAGCGCCUGGCCAAAGGCAGUAUGCCCCACUCGGUUGACUCAGGCUGAUCCCCUCUGUGGACACCUGCCCUGGCAGCAUCUGAAUGUGAGACACCCCUCUCACAGCUGGCUUGAUCGCAAGAACUUCUGACCUAUCAGCCUUUGACUGUGGUGUAGUGGACCACAGUGGCCGUAACGGGUAACGGAGAAUCUGGGUUCGAUUCCGGAGAGGGAGCCUNAGAAACGGCUACCACUACCAAGGUGGGCAGCAGGCGCGCAAAUUGCCCAAUACAGACACAUUCUGUGAGGCAGCAACGAACCGCAACAAUCUUGCCAGGCUCUUUCUCAUCAAAGCCAGCGGGAUCUGUAAUGGAUGCUAUCCAAACCCAGUGAUGAGUACCAACUGGAGGGCAAGUCUGGUGCCAGCAGCUGCGGUAAUUCCAGCUCCAAGGGCGUAUACUAACAUUGCUGCUGUUAAAACACUUGUAGUCUGCCACCGGGUUGCAGGUCUGCUGGGUGGCCAACCUGUGCCUGUUACCAUCCGUGGCAGCAGGUGCGGUUGGGACACAACCCCCGGCAGUAUGCUCCUGCACCCAUGUCUAUUACUAGGAUGGUGAGACCUGCUCCUGCAAGGAGUCCCCUUCAGUGGGGGCCCCAACCAGCAUCACACCCAGAGCUUGUCAAGGCCUUCAGGGACACAGCCCUCCGCUGCUGUGCAACAUCCCCAGUCUGCUACCGGAGUCCACCAUUGCAGUCACCGUGGAAAACUCAGUGUGCUCAAAGCAUCCAUCCUUCGGCAGGAUGUCCAUCCGUGGAAUGACAAAGCACCGCCCAGAUGGGCCACAGAGUUGUGCUGGCCUUGGAGCCCAUGCAGGACAAUCCGAUGCUGCAGAGAUGGCACUCUGUACCGCUGGUGCCCAGGUGGUCAUCUGCGGAGGCCCCGCAUGGGGGACCUUUUGCAGACCCGCUCUGGCCCAGUCCACUAUGCCAAUCUAUGCAAGUCAUUGACUGGAGAUGAUGGGACCAUGCAAGGUGGAAGGUAUUGCAACGCCAGAGGUGAAAUUCUUAGACCGUCGCAAGACCCACUGCGGCGAAGCGUUCCGCAUGUUUGAGUCCGUCGAUCAAGAAUGAGAGCCUGGGGAGCAAAGGUGAUUAGACACCUCCGUAGUCCAGAGCUGUAAACCAUGCCGGCUGGGUGAUCGAGGGGAGUCUGCAUUGCAGCCCCACCACCACCUAUGCCCACAACCCCUGCAACGAGAAAUCCAAGCCUUUGGGUUCAGGGGGGAGUACUGCUGCAAGGCUGAAACUUAAAGGAAUUGACGGAAUGGCACCACAAGGCGUGGAGUAUGCGGCUUAAUUUGACUCAACACGGGGAAGGUUACCAGGUCAGGACGUGGCUGGGAUGGACAGAUUGAGAGCUCUUUCUUGAUGCUUCGGAUGGUGGUGCAUGGCCGCUCCUGAUUGGUGGAGUGAUUUGUCUGGUUGAUUCCGAUAACGAGUGAGACAUCUACCUCCCACUAGCCCCUGUCUCGCAAUCCAUGUAGGGUGGACGGUCACCGUGCCCUCGGGCAGGGGUCCUCGGACCCUCACUGGUGUGCCAAUGUCCCCCGAGAGUGCAGGGUCCUCAAGCUUCUCUGAGGUGCUGAGCGCCAUUCCACACAGCGCUAGAUGCGAGAUACAACAGCAGGUCUGUGAUGCUCCCAGAUGUCCUGGGCCGCACGCGCACUACAUUGACACAGCCAGGGUGUUGAUCCAAGAGGGCUCUUAGCCCUGGACUGCCUUGAAGAGGGUGAGAAACCAUGCCAGUCUGGUGUUGUCCUGGGGAUAGAUGCUUGCAACUGUCUGCCUUGAACGAGGAAUGCCUUGUAAGGGUGUGUCAUCAGUGCACCCUGAAUACGUCCCUGCCAUUUGUACACACCGCCCGUCGUUGCUACCGAUGUUGAUGGGCAGAGCCAUCCGGAGGUGCCACCCCCAGUCUGGGGUGAGCCGAAAUUGGGCAAUGUCAAGUCAAUAGAGGAAGCAAAAGUCGUAACAAGGU